rnacentral:rRNA from 1 species
AGAGUUUGAUCAUGGCUCAGAUUGAACGCUGGCGGCAUGCCUUACACAUGCAAGUCGAACGGUAACAGGGAGCUUGCUCCGCUGACGAGUGGCGAACGGGUGAGUAAUAUAUCGGAACGUGCCCUAGAGUGGGGGAUAACUAGUCGAAAGAUUAGCUAAUACCGCAUACGAUCUAAGGAUGAAAGUGGGGGAUCGCAAGACCUCAUGCUCGUGGAGCGGCCGAUAUCUGAUUAGCUAGUUGGUAGGGUAAAAGCCUACCAAGGCAUCGAUCAGUAGCUGGUCUGAGAGGACGACCAGCCACACUGGGACUGAGACACGGCCCAGACUCCUACGGGAGGCAGCAGUGGGGAAUUUUGGACAAUGGGCGCAAGCCUGAUCCAGCAAUGCCGCGUGAGUGAAGAAGGCCUUCGGGUUGUAAAGCUCUUUUGUCAGGGAAGAAACGGUGAGAGCUAAUAUCUUUUGCUAAUGACGGUACCUGAAGAAUAAGCACCGGCUAACUACGUGCCAGCAGCCGCGGUAAUACGUAGGGUGCAAGCGUUAAUCGGAAUUACUGGGCGUAAAGCGUGCGCAGGCGGUUAUGUAAGACAGAUGUGAAAUGCCCGGGCUUAACCUGGGAACUGCAUUUGUGACUGCAUAGCUAGAGUGUGUCAGAGGGGGGUAGAAUUCCACGUGUAGCAGUGAAAUGCGUAGAUAUGUGGAGGAAUACCGAUGGCGAAGGCAGCCCCCUGGGAUAACACUGACGCUCAUGCACGAAAGCGUGGGGAGCAAACAGGAUUAGAUACCCUGGUAGUCCACGCCCUAAACGAUGUCUACUAGUUGCCGGGUCUUAAUUGACUUGGUAACGCAGCUGACGCGUGAAGUAGACCGCCUGGGGAGUACGGUCGCAAGAUUAAAGCUCAAAGGAAUUGACGGGGACCCGCACAAGCGGUGGAUGAUGUGGAUUAAUUCGAUGCAACGCGAAAAACCUUACCUACCCUUGACAUGUCAGAGAGCUCGAAGAGAUUUGAGUGUGCUCGAAAGAGAAUCUGAACACAGGUGCUGCAUGGCUGUCGUCAGCUCGUGACGUGAGAUGUUGGGUUAAGUCCCGCAACGAGCGCAACCCUUGUCAUUAGUUGCUACGAAAGGGCACUCUAAUGAGACUGCCGGUGACAAACCGGAGGAAGGUGGGGAUGACGUCAAGUCCUCAUGGCCCUUAUGGGUAGGGCUUCACACGUCAUACAAUGGUACAUACAGAGGGCUGCCAACCCGCGAGGGGGAGCUAAUCCCAGAAAGUGUAUCGUAGUCCGGAUUGGAGUCUGCAACUCGACUCCAUGAAGUUGGAAUCGCUAGUAAUCGCGGAUCAGCAUGUCGCGGUGAAUACGUUCCCGGGUCUUGUACACACCGCCCGUCACACCAUGGGAGCGGGUUUUACCAGAAGUAGGUAGCCUAACCGCAAGGAGGGCGCUUACCACGGUAGGAUUCGUGACUGGGGUGAAGUCGUAACAAGGUA